UGGUUGGUCCGAAUUGUUCACGU
rnacentral:siRNA from 1 species